CCUACGGGUGGCAGCAGUGAGGAAUAUUGGUCAAUGGGCGGAAGCCUGAACCAGCAAAGUCGCGUGCGUGAUGACGGCCCUACGGGUUGUAAACUGCUUUUAUACGGGAAUAAAACGCCUUACGUGUAGGGCUUUGCAUGUACCGUAUGAAUAAGGACCGGCUAAUUCCGUGCCAGCAGCCGCGGUAAUACGGAAGGUCAGGGCGUUAUGCGGAUUUAUUGGGUGUAAAGGGAGCGUAGGCGGCAUGUCAAGCGUGCUGUGAAAUGUCCGGGCUCAACCCGGGCCUUGCAGCGGGAACGGGCGGGCUUGAGUGCGCGGAAAGCAGGCGGAAUU
rnacentral:rRNA from 1 species